AUUGAACGCUGGCGGCAGGCCUAACACAUGCAAGUCGAACGGUAACAGGAAGAAGCUUGCUUCUUUGCUGACGAGUGGCGGACGGGUGAGUAAUGUCUGGGAAACUGCCUGAUGGAGGGGGAUACCUACUGGAAACGGUAGCUAAUACCGCAUAAUGUCGCAAGACCAAAGAGGGGGACCUUCGGGCCUCUUGCCAUCGGCUGUGCCCAGAUGGGAUUAGCUAGUAGGUGGGGUAACGGCUCACCUAGGCGACGAUCCCUAGCUGGUCUGAGAGGAUGACCAGCCACACUGGAACUGAGACACGGUCCAGACUCCUACGGGAGGCAGCAGUGGGGAAUAUUGCACAAUGGGCGCAAGCCUGAUGCAGCUAUGCCGCGUGUAUGAAGAAGGCCUUCGGGUUGUAAAGUACUUUCAGCAGGGAGGAAGGGAGUAAAGUUAAUACCUUUGCUCAUUGACGUUACCCGCAGAAGAAGCACCGGCUAACUCCGUG
rnacentral:rRNA from 1 species